UUCAACAUCUUUUUGUUUGAAUGUGGACYUGGAUGUUGCCGUGUAACUACGGCUCAUCUCAAAUGCCUGAGUGUACCCUGCUUUGCAGCGUAUUCGGUGUGAUAAUUCUUCACCGGUAGUGUCUCUUGUUAGACAGCGCUUGCUUGUGGGCUCUAUGCUUCAAACCGUCCCUUGGGACAAUCUCUGACAAUUUGACCUCAAAUCGGGUGGGACUACCCGCUGAACUUAAGCAUAUCAAUAAGCGGAGGAAAAGAAACUAACAAGGAUUCCCCUAGUAACGGCGAGUGAAGAGGGAAAAGCUCAAAUUUUGAAUCUGGUGUCUUUGACUCCCGAGUUGUAAUCUAGAGAAGUGUUUUCCGUGUCGGACCGUGUACAAGUUCCCUGGAACGGGAUGUCAUAGAGGGUGAGAAUCCCGUAUAUGCCACGGACUACCGAUACUAUGUGAUACACUCUCAACGAGUCGAGUUGUUUGGGAAUGCAGCUCAAAAUGGGUGGUAAAUUCCAUCUAAAGCUAAAUAUUGGCGAGAGACCGAUAGCGAACAAGUACCGUGAGGGAAAGAUGAAAAGCACUUUGGAAAGAGAGUGAAACAGUACGUGAAAUUGUUGAAAGGGAAGCGUUUGAAGUCAGUCACAUCUGUUGGAAUUCAGCCUUGCUUCUGCUUGGUGUACUUUCUGGCUGAUGGGUCAGCAUCAAUUUUGACCGAGGGAAAAAGACAUUGGGAAUGUGGCUGUCUUGCGGCAGUGUUAUAGCCCAGUGUUGUAUGUCUCGGUUGGGAUUGAGGAACGCAGCGCGCCUUUUGGCCGGGGUUCGCGCCCUCGGUACGCGCUUAGGAUGCUGGCAUAAUGGCUUUAAGCGACC
rnacentral:rRNA from 1 species